UCCCUGGCAGCCUAGUGGUUAGGACUCAGUGCUUUCAAUACUGUAGCCCUGGUUCAAUCCCAGGUCUGGGAA
rfam:Sus scrofa chromosome 10.